rnacentral:rRNA from 1 species
GGCCUUCUGGGUUGUAAACUGCUUUUGUCAGGGGAUAAAAAGCUCGUGCGCGAGAAAUUGAAUGUACCUGGCGAAUAAGCCACGGCUAACUACGUGCCAGCAGCCGCGGUAAUACGUAGGUGGCAAGCGUUGUCCGGAUUUAUUGGGUUUAAAGGGUGCGUAGGCGGUCCUGUAAGUCAGUGGUGAAAUACGGCAGCUCAACUGUCGAGGUGCCAUUGAUACUGCGGGACUUGAGUGUUGAUGAGGUAGGCGGAAUUGACGGUGUAGCGGUGAAAUGCUUAGAUAUCGUCAAGAACACCGAUAGCGAAGGCAGCUUACCAAGCAACAACUGACGCUGAGGCACGAAAGUGUGGGGAUCAAACAGGAUUAGAUACCCUGGUAGUCC